GAUCAUACGUAUUGGAGUAACACAGAUUAAACAAUGGAUGCAUUUAAGCUUAAAAUAUAUUCCAAAAUUUAAGAAAAAUGUUAGCGGAAAACAAAAUAAAAACAAGCUAAUCGACGGAUUAUAAUGUGGCAGCAGCAGCAGCAGCGGGAACAACAUCAACUGGACGGCAUGUGCGUCGAGAGCUGUAAGAUAAAUGCGACCGGCAAAAAGUCAACGCUGGGCCUCUCGCUGCCCCCCUCUGGACCACUCUCUUCACACAACAAGCAAGCAAUCCCCCUUCGGAGAAUUGGGUGGGUGCUGCGAGUCUCUCUCUCUCUCUCUCUCGUAUUGUAUACAUUGUCGGCUGCUGCUGCGACUGCUGCGACUGCUCUUGGCGCAUUGCAGUUUAUAUUAUUAUUGCUGUUGUUGUUGUUCGGUUUUUUGUUGCUGGUUUUAGUUUUAGUUUUUUGAUUACGACGCAAUUGAGUGGCCUCCCUGCACGAGGUUUCAAGCCACAGCCCAGUUACCGAGAGCAUGACGUGCUGAAUUCUCUUUGCUUUUUGUUUUUGUUCGUUUUUGCCUUUUUAUUUUGAUUAUUAUUGUUAUUACUUUUAUUAUCAAUUGAGAACG